UUUGCCUUCGAAUAACUAAAUGACUAUAUAUAAUAUAAAUGUUGUUUAGUUCAGACAGAGGCACAUAUCAAAUAUUAAAUAUCU